rnacentral:rRNA from 1 species
UAUAGACCCGAAACCAGGUGAUCUAGCCAUGGGCAGGUUGAAGGUUGAGUAACAUCAACUGGAGGACCGAACCGACUAAUGUUGAAAAAUUAGCGGAUGACUUGUGGCUAGGGGUGAAAGGCCAAUCAAACCUGGAGAUAGCUGGUUCUCCCCGAAAGCUAUUUAGGUAGCGCCUCGGACGAAUACUACUGGGGGUAGAGCACUGUUAAGGCUAGGGGGUCAUCCCGACUUACCAACCCUUUGCAAACUCCGAAUACCAGUAAGUACUAUCCGGGAGACACACGGCGGGUGCUAACGUCCGUCGUGGAGAGGGAAACAACCCAGACCGCCAGCUAAGGUCCCAAAUUACUACUAAGUGGGAAACGAUGUGGGAAGGCUCAGACAGCCAGGAUGUUGGCUUAGAAGCAGCCAUCAUUUAAAGAAAGCGUAAUAGCUCACUGGUCGAGUCGGCCUGCGCGGAAGAUGUAACGGGGCUAAGUAGUAAACCGAAGCUGCGGCAAUGUGCUUUUGCACAUUGGGUAGGGGAGCGUUCUGUAAGCGGUUGAAGGUGUGUGGUAACGCAUGCUGGACGUAUCAGAAGUGCGAAUGCUGACAUGAGUAACGAUAAAGGGGGUGAAAAACCUCCUCGCCGGAAGACCAAGGGUUCCUGUCCAACGUUAAUCGGGGCAGGGUAAGUCGACCCCUAAGGCGAGGCCGAAAGGCGUAGUCGAUGGGAAACGGGUUAAUAUUCCCGUACUUCUUACAAUUGCGAUGGGGGGACGGAGAAGGCUAGGUGGGCCUGGCGACGGUUGUCCAGGUUCAAGUGCGUAGGCUUAAGAGUUAGGUAAAUCCGGCUCUUUUUAAGGCUGAGACACGACGUCGAGCAUCUACGGAUGUUAGGUAAAUCCGGCUCUUUUUAAGGCUGAGACACGACGUCGAGCCACUACGGUGGUGAAGUCAUUGAUGCCAUGCUUCCAGGAAAAGCCUCUAAGCUUCAGAUUGUAAGGAAUCGUACCCCAAACCGACACAGGUGGUCGGGUAGAGAAUACCAAGGCGCUUGAGAGAACUCGGGUGAAGGAACUAGGC